UCCCUUCGGGGACAGAGUGACAGGUGGUGCAUGGUUGUCGUCAGCUCGUGUCGUGAGAUGUUGGGUUAAGUCCCGCAACGAGCGCAACCCUUGAUCUUAGUUGCCAGCAUUUAGUUGGGCACUCUAAGGUGACUGCCGGUGACAAACCGGAGGAAGGUGGGGAUGACGUCAAAUCAUCAUGCCCCUUAUGACCUGGGCUACACACGUGCUACAAUGGACAGAACAAAGGGCUGCGAGACCGCAAGGUUUAGCCAAUCCCAUAAAUCUGUUCUCAGUUCGGAUCGCAGUCUGCAACUCGACUGCGUGAAGCUGGAAUCGCUAGUAAUCGCGGAUCAGCAUGCCGCGGUGAAUACGUUCCCGGGCCUUGUACACACCGCCCGUCACACCACGAGAGUUUGUAACACCCGAAGUCGGUGAGGUAACCUUAUGAGCCAGCCGCCGAUCGA
rnacentral:rRNA from 1 species